GAUCCUGGCUCAGGAUGAACGCUAGCGACAGGCUUAACACAUGCAAGUCGAGGGGCAGCGGGGAGUAGCAAUACUUCGCCGGCGACCGGCGCACGGGUGAGUAACACGUGUGCAACCAACCCCGUACCGGGAGAUAACCCGCGGAAACGUGGACUAACAUCCCAUAGUACUGGAGGAUCGCAUGAUCUUUCAUUUAAAAUUCCGGUGGUACGGGACGGGCACGCGCGACAUUAGGUAGUUGGCGGGGUAACGGCCCACCAAGCCG
rnacentral:rRNA from 1 species